rnacentral:tRNA from 1 species
GGAUAGAUACCCAAGUGGUUUAAGGGGUUCCUCUGCUAAGGGAAUAGGCUGUAACAGGUGCAUGGGUUCGAAUCCCAUUCUAUCCGCCA